UACGUAGGGUGCGAGCGUUGUCCGGAAUUACUGGGCGUAAAGAGCUCGUAGGUGGUUUGUCACGUUGUUCGUGAAAACUCACAGCUUAACUGUGGGCGUGCGGGCGAUACGGGCAGACUGGAGUACUGCAGGGGAGACUGGAAUUCCUGGUGUAGCGGUGAAAUGCGCAGAUAUCAGGAGGAACACCGGUGGCGAAGGCGGAUCUCUGGGCCUUACCUGACGCUGGAGGCGCGAAAGCUAGGGGAGCGAACAGG
rnacentral:rRNA from 1 species